AAAUUACUGAAAAUCUUUGUUCUAAAACAUGGCCAUGGAGACCGAGGUCUCUAGACGUCGGAAAGCAUGAGAUGGUUUGAAGCCGCCGCGAUGUAACAUAACUUAUU
rnacentral:sRNA from 1 species